UACAGAGGUGACAAACGUUGUCCGGAAUUAUUGGGCGUAAAGGGCGCGUAGGUGGUUGAGUAAGUCAGGUGUGAAAGCUCUGGGCUUAACCCAGGAAUUGCAUCUGAUACUGCUCGGCUUGAGUACGGUAGAGGAGGGUGGAAUUCCAGGUGUAGCGGUGAAAUGCGUAGAUAUCUGGAGGAACACCGGUGGCGAAGGCGGCAUCCUGGACCGAGAUUGACGCUGAUGCGCGAAAGCCAGGGGAGCAAACGGG
rnacentral:rRNA from 1 species